rnacentral:misc_RNA from 1 species
GACCAUAACAACUACUUAGGUAGAUCAUCAUCCUGAGAUAAACACAAUCGUGACCGACAUCGUGACCUAUCAUCGAAUAUGCCCCCGUUAGAGGAGAAACGUUGUAGAAUUUGCCAGAAAGUAUUCUGUUGCGUGGAUUGUCGAAAGGCGCAUCAAACAAAACGACAUUCCGAGCUGAAUCACGACUGUCCAAUAUGUAUGGUUCAGAAAUUAGCUCUACCGAAGUGCUAUGAAAACUCGGAAUUAUUGUAUCAUAUAGCCAUCACUCAUCUACCACUGAUAUGUACGCUUUGUGGUGAAGAAUACAAGAAGUACAAAGACUUGGUGCAAGCUGAAAAGUGCACCUGGUGGAUGGAGCGUAGCCAACAUCUACUCCGUCGAAGUAUUCCAUUUCCAAAGUCAUUACCAGUAUUGGAUACACCGUCUCCAUUAAACGACAUUCAGAAACAUUCCGAAUCGGAUAUAAAGAGACUAUCCGUUGAUAACGAACGCAAUCGUGGCUUUGGUAACUUCACCUCUCCUCCAGAGCUAUCGAGGAACACUAGUACACCUAUGCACAUAGCUUGUGCAAACAAAACUAAUUAUCCACAAUUUAAGACUCCUAAUGUACCAAACUUUUCUCUAAAAACGCCGAAUACGCAGACUCCAGCAUCUUCCAUGUCUUCAACUUACUACGACGCAUAUUCUUUACCUACAAGAGACGAUCUGGAGAAAGACGACACGAAAGGGACUACUCGUAGUGCUUAUCUCACCGGUCUUUCUUCGCUGUCGAAGUCACAAUUAUUGGAUGACAAUUUUAAGUUGUUGGACAUAAUCCGAACUCCUAGUGCCUGUCAUAACAGUGAAUAUCAAAAGAGCAGUGCUACCAGAAAAUUGGAAGUAAUGAGGGAAGCAGAAGAGCCAAACCUUUCCGAAGCUGACAUGGAACUAACCGAGAUUCAAGGAGCCAUCAUAGAUUCCAAUCCGACGGACGAAGAGUCCAGUGAGUCCCUAUCAAAAAUCAGUCGUAUAAGCGAACGCAGGGAAUCCAUUAAAAAAGUCCGUUUCUCUGAUCAAUUUCUUGCCAAAACAGAGACCAGUAGCAGCGUCGGAUAUAAUGUAACUGAAAAUGAAAUAUUCUUUGAGGCCAGAGAGUCAAUUUCAGAGAUAGCUGUUGGAAACCAAGAAGAAAACCCGCCGCAGGAGGACGUUAACGUGAAAAGUAAAGGAGAUAGCAACGCGGACGCGAAAACCACUGAAAAUCUGAGCAACGGCAAUGCGGCUCAUCCAAUUUCUUGUCGGUCUGGACAAUCACGGGUCGUCAUGAUGUUAUUGUUGGAGAACAAUGGUAGCUUAAACACCACGGAUUUGGUUCCGUUGAUUGACUCCAGUCUUAAAAAGUUGGAGCAGACUGCGGCGAUUGAGUUAAAUGCUAUGAAUCGGACGGAUGCGACUUCGUCGAAACAUAUGAGGACCAUUACCUCGUCAGACCGCUACGUUAGCGUUUCUGCCGUAGAGAGAACUACGGGCCACAAUUCCGCGUUAUCAAUGUUCGGAAUCCCUAGGAUAUUAUCAACGUCGAACGAGGAAACAGGCUCCAAAGGAAUAUUCUCGGCUGUGGCACGUGCAGUCAAGUGUGCAAUAAAAAAUCUAUCCGGUUCCAGUGUACCGUCGAGCGCUUCGAGGAGAACGGCUGUGCAAAAUGAAAAUGCCGAUCCAGCGUCGUCUAUUUCAUUACCAUCGACUUCUCUUGGAAACGUUUUGACCGACGCCACCUCAUCCGUCCUUAACCGACCCGGAAAGAGAUCCAGGGAGCUUAUCGAAAGCCCACCUGCAAGGUCCUCCGCAAAUUUAGGUCCUCAGUACGAAACUACAAACAGUCCUGCUACGAAAAAACACCGUACUUGGGUUAAAAUCAAAUGUAGAGAACCCAUCGCAAGAAUGAGAGGUAAUCCUUCGGAGAACGAUCAAGCGGCGAAUCCAGUCUCGACGAAAAGUGCAUCUUCCGAAACUCAAAGCUUUCAACAGGGACCUCUUAAAGUUGCAGACCCUCUACUUCCGAUACCACCUCGAGCGCAUCAAUCUACGCAGACUGAGUGAUAGAUUCGCAUACCUUAAAUUAAUCUAUACUAGUCGACAGGUUUUAAUUUAAGUUUAGUAUGUUAUUAAAAUUCGUAAUCGCUUAGCACGGCCCCACAUAUUUAUCAUUUUUCAUAGAGUAAUUCGUUUGUAACUAGUAACGCAAUAUGUGUUUCGGUAUAAAAGCACUACAGAUAGGAUCAAGUAUUUGUUAACACUAAAAAAGAGUUACGUUUAUCAACAUUUUUAAUGUAUUUGAUAAUUUGGAGCGAGACUGCGUAUACCGUUCUUCAACUAUCUAAUACGAGGUGGUUCCUUAGCGUAAUCUUAAUAAAAGGUCGAUUGAAAUCAAUUGCGAUUAGAGGGAGUUAAUCGGGCCUUUUACAUUACGAGGUUCAACAUCCUCUCCUCGCAUUUAUUUUUGUCAAUCAUUUACCACUGGAUUAUUCAAAUUUUAUUCCGAAGCUGCUUCGUCCCGCUUAAAUACAGAUUAUUAUAUUAAUAUCUCUGUGAUUGAAAAUCGCAUCGGUUCGUAUCGUGAAAAAUAGAAUUCUGUAAACAGCUCAGUGAAUCCAACUUUUAUCGCACAGCGAACUCGGCAUAUCCCACUCGGCCGACAAGGAAUUCGUUGGCGAGCUUAACGUCAUCAUCAAUACAAUUACCAUCUUUUUACGCGGUUACAAAUUUAAGGUGUACUAUUUUUUCUCACUUUUCCAAAUUGUAAAUGGCUAUUGUUACCGUUAUACAAGUACGAACGGCAAUGUCAUACGUACAUUACUAACUUCCUUCAUAAAACAGGUUCAAGGAUUCGUCCUUUGGUAGAUUAUGAGAGUACGCUUCACAUUCAAUGCGCGUUAUUGAAACAAUGGUGACAUCGCAAUUGGUGUCAUUGACGACGCGACGUAUUUGGUGUGGUCAAUUCUUUAAUGGAAUUGCGCGAUAAUACUUGGAGCAUAUCAAAUUCUAAUUUGUUCGUCGAUACUUAUUAUUCGCUGCGACUGAAAAAUAUUUCCCUUAAAUGUAAAUAGAAGAUGUAAGGUGCAAAAUUAAUUUAAGUAGAUGCGCAUCGAAGGCGAGUUUAGAAGGAAUUUUGGCAAAGCAGACUUUUCGAAAUCGAGCGGCAAUGUGCGUGCAAUGUCGGUUAAUAAAGUAAAUGUAAAUAAACAAUGUAAAGUACGAAAUUGGUCCUAGUAGAUGCGCCUCGAAUGCGAGUUUAGAAGGAAUUUCGGGAAAGCAGACUUUUCGAAAUCGAGCGGCAACGCGCGUGCAAAGUCGGCUAUCGGUGAAAUGCCUGAGAACAAAGCCAACGUGGGGGGGCUUCGUUUUUUUACUCGUUCCGGUUCGAAAGGAACCGUCCACCAAUCGUGUUCUCAAUAGAAGAUGAUUUACCGAGGUACACCAGUAGUUUGUCUGGUUCGUGCGAUCGAGCGAGUCGACGUGGAAUCGUCACGCCGAUUAGAUCCUAUCCGAUCGAAGGUAUGAUCUCUCAUUUCUAUUCCUUCACUGAGUACUUCCUAGCUCUUGAUAACUUGUAAUCAUUACAAAAUAUGCCAUAUUCAAGUAAGCCCACGUACCCAGUUGUAUAUAAUUGAAAUGUUCCCCUCCCAGAGAAUUUGAAAAUAAGGAGCGUUAUCUCGCUGCAAAGAGUCAUACGUCUGAACCAGACACUGAUUACGAUCGACAUUUUUUUCUUUGACCGAAAAUUCCUUGACUUACAACCAAUACGUCCUCGAUCGAACUUCACCUAAAUUUUUCUGCCGCUAUUUUGAAAAGAACGCUUACCAAAUUGGUCUCAAGAUAAGGAAAUCAAUGGCAUAAAUAAUAGCGGAUAGGAAAUAGAUAAGCAAAUUAAUGGAUGUAAAUUCUACGUAUGUAUACGAAAGAAAACCGGGAUUUAAUUGUAAGACGGUAUACGAAGACAGAGUGAAUAAAUCGGAAUUUCAAACUUUAUAUUUAGUUAAGUACCGUGUCUAGAGAUUAACGCAAGAGAUACACGUUUCCUUGACUACGUACAUAUGUAUACUCGGGCUCAUUAUACACACGUAAAUAGUUAUCGGGUAUGUAAGUUCGAAUCUUGGAGUGUAAGAACUCGAGUGGCCUUCCAAGAGUCGGUCGAUGAAUCGGUAACCACGCGCUUCCAUGAGUACGUACAAGUAACGAGUUGGAGUGCAGUAUUUGUUUGAAACCGGUAGAGAGAAGUCAUAUAUUGUGAAGUGUUAGAUACAAUAAAUGACACGGUGAUACGUGUGCGUGCCCCUAAACGUUUCCGUGACACCUGAUUAUCGCGAUAGAAAUUCAACGCGAGAUAAGUGGAAUCGCUCUUAGAUUUAUCAAUUAAGUCGACCUCUUAUCGCGGUGAAAAUUUAUUCCGUUUUUCCUACUUGCCCGCACUGCAAACGCGUGUGUAUGCUUCAAAGUUGAUAGUUCCGUUUUUCAAAAUAGUUGUAAUUGAAUACAAAUAAGGCAAGACUAAGAAAUGGCACCACGCUGUUAUUUCCGAUUACCCAUCCGUGACCAGUGGAUAUGUAAUUUGUUAUUUGCCCCAACGUUGAUGGCGAGUCCAGAUAUUAAGUUUCGUUGGUAAGAUGUGACAAUAAGACACGAUGCGAUUAAACGCAUUCCUCGAUCAGCUGAUAAAACGAUAUUCUCCCCGCCGUCAAAGAUUGUCAAUUGAUACAAAUUAAAAGACACUGGAUUAACACCGACGUGAAACAUUAAAAUGGGCCAUUAAUCUUAACAAUUGCUGAUAACCGGUAUUUAAAUGUUACUUUUAUCCGCCUUUUUCCGUCUUCGCCUCGGCUACUCUUUCUCAUUUUUCCGGCGAUUAUGUGCGAUGGAGAAUAUAUCAGAUAUCUCGAUAUAUUGUAAAUUGCUACCUGCAAUAAAUUCGGAGAAUGGGACAAGUAA